rnacentral:tRNA from 1 species
GGGAGCAUUGCUCAAAUGGUAGAGCAAAUGCCUAGCAAGCACAAGGCUCUGAGUUCAAACCCCAGUACUACCU